rnacentral:lncRNA from 1 species
GAAGAAGGAUGGUCGAGUCUUACCUAUGUUUAAGAGAUGUGGUAGGAGGUUGGUGAAGUACUGAGGGAUUUUCCGGUGUGACGAUCGAAGAAGAAGAAGUUGGUUCUACUCUAACGGCCCCUUGCUGCAAGACGCGACUACUACUAUGACGAUCAAAGCCUCGCCCUUCGUCUUGGCUUCUGACGGCAGCACUGAUGCCUUCGUCCAUUAGAACUCACUGUCAAGGUCUUCAUGGAGGUGGGUGCUCCAAACUUAGAACCCUUCCUCCUCAAUCCCCCUAAUCCCUAACCUAAGGAAAUGGAAUCCGUAUUCAAUAAAAAUGAG